rnacentral:rRNA from 1 species
GACGAACGCUGGCGGCGUGCUUAACACAUGCAAGUCGAACGGAAAGGCCCUGCUUUUGUGGGGUGCUCGAGUGGCGAACGGGUGAGUAACACGUGAGUAACCUGCCCUUGACUUUGGGAUAACUUCAGGCAACUGGGGCUAAUACCGGCUAGGAGCUCCUGCUGCAUGGUGGGGGUUGGAAAGUUUCGGCGGUUGGGGAUGGACUCGCGGCUUAUCAGCUUGUUGGUGGGGUAGUGGCUUACCAAGGCCUUGACGGGUAGCCGGCCUGAGAGGGUGACCGGCCACAUUGGGACUGAGAUACGGCCCAGACUCCUACGGGAGGCAGCAGUGGGGAAUAGUGCACAAUGGGCGGAGGCCUGAUGCAGCAACGCCGCGUGCGGGAUGACGGCCUUCGGGUUGUAAACCGCUUUCGCCUGUGACGAAGCGUGAGUGACGGUAAUGGGUAAAGAAGCACCGGCUAACUACGUG